rnacentral:rRNA from 1 species
AUUGAACGCUGGCGGCAGGCCUAACACAUGCAAGUCGAGCGGAUGAAGGGAGCUUGCUCCUGGAUUCAGCGGCGGACGGGUGAGUAAUGCCUAGGAAUCUGCCUGGCAGUGGGGGAUAACGUCCGGAAACGGGCGCUAAUACCGCAUACGUCCUGAGGGAGAAAGUGGGGGAUCUUCGGACCUCACGCUAUCAGAUGAGCCUAGGUCGGAUUAGCUAGUUGGUGGGGUAAGGGCCUACCAAGGCGACGAUCCGUAACUGGUCUGAGAGGAUGAUCAGUCACACUGGAACUGAGACACGGUCCAGACUCCUACGGGAGGCAGCAGUGGGGAAUAUUGGGCAAUGGGCGAAAGCCUGACCCAGCCAUGCCGCGUGUGUGAAGAAGGUCUUCGGAUUGUAAAGCACUUUUAGUUGGGAGGAAGAGCAGUAAGUUAAUACCUUGCUGUUUUGACGUUACCAACAGAAUAAGCACCGGCUAACUACGUG